rnacentral:lncRNA from 1 species
CACAUAGUCAGGAUAUGUGAACUUGGGUCUUCUCAACUUCAAGGGCAGCCCUCUCUACCAUGAUACUAACUGGAACAAUAAGUGGGGAAAAAGGAAAGGAAAUAAGGAAAGACUGCUCUGAGGAAGUAAUACCUGAACUGCAUGUAGGAGGAAGUCAAAGAUUCUGAGAGGUCUUUUUGUGGUGGCAAAGAAUUGAAAAAUUGAGGAGCUGCAUUCGUUGAGAAAUGGCUGAACAAGGGGUAUGUGAUUAUAAUGGAGUACCACUGUGCUAUAAGAAAUGGUGAGCAGGAUGAUUUUGGAAAAACCUGGGCUUACACAAGUUGAUGAAAAAUGAAGUGGACAGAACCAGAAAAACUAUUAUACACACCAGCAAAAUUUUUUAUUUUAACUUUAUUUAAAAAAAUAUUUUUUCAUGUUGACAUGAUUCAUUUUCUUUCCCUCCUUUCUUCCCUCUUCCCUCCCAGAGCCGAUAAGCAAUUCCACUGGGUUGUACAAAUGUUAUCAGAUAUGCUACUUCAAGGAAGAGAAAUACCCAUUAAUUCUAUAAAGUAUUAUCUACAGACCAGAAAUGAAACCCAUAUUUUCCUUCCACAUAAAGAGAGAAAGAAUCAAAACCAUUCUAUUUGCCUGAAUGGGCUACUUUUACAGUGUGAUCAGGAUAUAGCAUUCUACAUAUCAUUAUUAAAGGACUAUUUGUUUGUGUUCUUUAUAAAGGCUAAUUGCUGUGAAAGGGAAAGGCUGAAUGUCUCUUAGUCUCAACUGAAUAAGAUAUGAAGUGAAUAUUGUCCUUUGCAAGAGAACAGAAUAGAUAAAGCUUAAAGAUUCAGGUGAGUUAAUUAUAAUAAUAAUAAUAGCUAACAUUUAUAUAGUGCUUCCUAUUUGCCAGGCACUGUGCUAAGUGGUUUACAAUUAUUAUCUCAUUUAGCCUCACCACAAUCCUGGGAGGUAGGUGCUAUUAUUAUCCCCAUUUUAUAGUUAAGGAAACUGAGGCAAACAGAGAUUAAGUGACUUACCUAGAGUCACACAGCUAGUAAGUGUCCUCAAACAUAAUAAACCCAUGAUGGUGAACCUAUAGUACA